GAGAGGGUGUUGAAGCGGGUGAGGCAGCCGUACUGGUCGUAGUCGCCGGCGUUGGAGGUGCCGUACAGCGUGAGGUAGAUGGGGAAGCAGCCGACGGGGAGCACGCCGGGGACGACGACGUACAUGGCGCCCAGCCCGAUCAGCUGCUCCACCCCCUUCCCGAUCCCGUCCACGAUGGUGCCGCUCUGCCCCGCCGCCUGCUCCGGCGUGUACCCGCCGAACAGCUGCGCGUUGUAGUCGUUGCCCCCGAACUC
rnacentral:misc_RNA from 1 species